rnacentral:rRNA from 1 species
AAUCAACGCUGGCGGCGUGCCUCAGACAUGCAAGUCGAACGAUUAAAGCUCUCUUCGGAGAGUGUAUAGAGUGGCGCACGGGUGAGUAACACGUAAGUAAUCUACCUUCGAGUGGGGAAUAACGUCCGGAAACGGACGCUAAUACCGCAUAAUGCAGCGGCAUCGCAAGAUGACAGUUGUUAAAGAUUUAUCGCUUGAAGAGGAGCUUGCGGCAGAUAGCUAGUUGGUAAGGUAAUGGCUUACCAAGGCUACGAUCUGUAACCGGUCUAAGAGGACGGUCGGUCACACUGACACUGAAUAACGGGUCAGACUCCUACGGGAGGCAGCAGUCGGGAA